AACUAUUCCAAAUUUUUUUUAAAAAUACUUGCCUAUUAAGGUUAUUAAAGGAACAGUAGUGUGCGGAAUACAAACAUGUAUUCCUGACACUAUAGUGCUGGAACAAAUCAUGAGGUUCCCGGCUCCCCUCUCUGAUUUUACACACCAUUUCUCCCACACUGUGCCAGUCGUGCAUAAAAAAAAACUUUAAAAAAACUUUUUUGUUUGUAACAGCUUUUGUUUAGAUUGUCA